CCUACGGGAGGCAGCAGUAGGGAAUCUUCCACAAUGGGCGAAAGCCUGAUGGAGCAACGCCGCGUGUGUGAUGAAGGGUUUCGGCUCGUAAAACACUGUUGUAAGAGAAGAAUGACAUUGAGAGUAACUGUUCAAUGUGUGACG
rnacentral:rRNA from 1 species